rnacentral:lncRNA from 1 species
GCACCACCAACUUUAGAUCCCUAGUUCAACAGUUCACUGGCUGCCAUAAUACUUAUAAAGGUUCUAAUUCUUUUGGGACUCAAAAGGGUCCACUCAACUUGAAUUUUGGUAUGCCAAGGAACCAAAAUGAGCAUCAUAAUCAGCAAGUUCUUGGAACAAGUUCUUCUUCAAGAAUUGCGCCUUUCGGGUGCGGUUUUUAUAAUCCACAGCCGGCUCAGCAGCAAGAACAACACUGGCAUAAUCAGCAGCAACAACAAGAACAUCAAGAAAUGUACACCAAGCAAGCAGCUAGUAACAUGCAGAGUGGGAAUUUGGAUGAUUUUGCUAUAGAUGAUGUUUCUGAUCUACAAGAACUUAUGGACGAGUCUUCUUCUUUCAGUGGGAGUAGGAAGGAUGGUUACUACUUUUGAGGGCGGGCGUAUCUGAAAAUUAAUUUUAUUUUUUUUACAUUUUGCUAAAGAAAACUUUUGAGGGUAAGUGGAAAGUUAAUAUAUCACCUGCUGGCAAUGUAAAUAUUUUUUUUCCCAUGCAUUUAGGUUGAAAAACCUAAUCUAUGUUCAAACAAUAAAAAGGAAAUUGUAGCAACAAGCUAGUGGUAUAUAUGACUUUCCUUCUGGAAAUUAAUUAUACAUUAGUUAAUUGUUUUCAUGAAUCAUUUUUAUUUUAUUGCAUUGGAAAUUAAGAAACAAACCAUAAAGCUUCGAUCAUAGUAUUGAUUAUGAGAAGUAAUAUUUAAGCAUUUUGAUGUAAAAAUCACUACAUCUUCUAUACAUGCAUUCUAAUCAUGUGGAGUUCUCUUCAAUGGUAUUAAACUAUUAAUAUACAUUUUAUUUUUCCAUUUUUAGGUUCUUUGAGAAGAAAUAUAU